AUGAGCGCUCUGCUUCCCAACGCCACUGCUCCCGGGGGCGCCGCGGUUCUGCUGGUCGCCACCGGCGGUCCGUUGAACCUGACGGCGGCUCAGGCGGGAGGCGGCGCCGGCUCUGGGCAGUCGCCGGCUCCUCUCUGUACCGUGUGCUGCUGUGGGUUCGUCAACCGCACCUUGGCCGUGGUGUUCAUGGUCAGCCUGGCUUUUGCCAUUGUGGUCGGAAAUGUGGUCACGCUGACCGUCUUCGUGCAAACAAGGCAGUCGAGGACGCCGCAGGGUUACUUAAAAGGUAUGCGCUGUAAAUAUCCUUUCUACACAGAAGUAUUGUGCUUUUUAACAUUUCAUUCCGAGAAAAGCUUUAAGUAUUGUUCUUGUGUCUGUAUUUCAGUGUCGCUGGCGGUCGCAGACAUGAUGGUUGGUGUCCUUGUGGUUCCGUUCUCUGUCUACACUGAAAUCUCCCUGAUGGUGACCAGCGCGCCUCCUGUUUGGUUCCAGGGCAGCUCCAUUUCCCCAGCCUCCAUCUCGUCCCCCUCCUCUUUAUCUCUGGGUGGACGUGCGCGGCCUUGGCAGCCGUGCAUGCUGAUCGGUCCCGUGUUCGCCGGCUGCACGUUCGUCUCCAUCAGCACCAUCUUCCUCAUGACUGUGGAGCGAAGCGUGGCCAUCCUGCGGCCGCUCCACAAGGACGCCCUGGUGACCCGGAGGCGAACCCUGUUCCUCAUCGUGCUCUCCUGGACGGCCAGCUUCCUUCUGGCUCUCACGCCCCUCAUCUUCAGCAGUAACUUCACCCUGGAGUACAAUCAGUGCAGUCGAAUGUGCAACUACACCCCACUGCUGUUUGGAGGCCGGCUGCCGCCCGAUGCCAACGUUUUGCUGUUAUUCCCAGCGUUUGACUUCACGCUGCUUGGGGGGACGUUAGCAGUGAACAUUGUGUCUUUCACCAGCAUUCGACGGUACUCCAAAAAACGCAAACUGCUGUCAGAGGGCAGCCUGAGCGACGGAGGGGGGGGAGGGUGCCCUCACAGGCCGUCCUUUUCGGACAUCAAAGCUGCCAAAACGAUUGGCAUCCUGACAUUCGCCUUCACGGCUUCCUUCUCUCCCAUCGCAGUCUUCGUGCUGGGGAACGUAGUGGGGUACAUGUGGUGUAACUUUUCCUUUUUUGCCUUCUGGAUUCUGACUGGAAACAGUUGCUGUAAUGUCAUUAUCUACAGUGUCAGGGACCACCGUUUCAGGAAAGGCGUUCACCUGCUCUUUCAGCGUGAACAGUCCCCUCCCCCUAGCGAGAAGACUUGA
rnacentral:lncRNA from 1 species